rnacentral:rRNA from 1 species
GAUGAACGCUGGCGGCGUGCCUAAUACAUGCAAGUCGAGCGAACAGAUGAGGAGCUUGCUCCUCUGACGUUAGCGGCGGACGGGUGAGUAACACGUGGAUAACCUACCUAUAAGACUGGGAUAACUUCGGGAAACCGGAGCUAAUACCGGAUAAUAUAUUGAACCGCAUGGUUCAAUAGUGAAAGACAGUUUUGCUGUCACUUAUAGAUGGAUCCGCGCCGCAUUAGCUAGUUGGUAAGGUAACGGCUUACCAAGGCAACGAUGCGUAGCCGACCUGAGAGGGUGAUCGGCCACACUGGAACUGAGACACGGUCCAGACUCCUACGGGAGGCAGCAGUAGGGAAUCUUCCGCAAUGGGCGAAAGCCUGACGGAGCAACGCCGCGUGAGUGAUGAAGGUCUUCGGAUCGUAAAACUCUGUUAUUAGGGAAGAACAAAUGUGUAAGUAACUAUGCACGUCUUGACGGUACCUAAUCAGAAAGCCACGGCUAACUACGUG